rnacentral:rRNA from 1 species
AUUGAACGCUGGCGGCAUGCCUUACACAUGCAAGUCGAACGGCAGCACGGGAGCAAUCCUGGUGGCGAGUGGCGAACGGGUGAGUAAAGUAUCGGAACGUGCCCAGUCGUGGGGGAUAACGUAGCGAAAGUUACGCUAAUACCGCAUACGACCUAUGGAUGAAAGCGGGGGAUCGCAAGACCUCGCGCGAUUGGAGCGGCCGAUAUCAGAUUAGGUAGUUGGUGGGGUAAAGGCUCACCAAGCCGACGACCUGUAGCUGGUCUGAGAGGACGACCAGCCACACUGGGACUGAGACACGGCCCAGACUCCUACGGGAGGCAGCAGUGGGGAAUUUUGGACAAUGGGCGAAAGCCUGAUCCAGCCAUGCCGCGUGCAGGAUGAAGGCCUUCGGGUUGUAAACUGCUUUUGUAUGGAACGAAAAGGUUUGGGCUAAUAAGCUGAGCUCAUGACGGUACCGUAAGAAUAAGCACCGGCUAACUACGUGCCAGCCGCCGCGGUAA